rnacentral:rRNA from 1 species
GACGAACCGUGCGAACGUUGUUCGGAAUCACUGGGCUUAAAGGGCGCGUAGGCGGCCCGCCGCGUCCGGGGUGAAAUCCUCCCGCUCAACGGGAGAACGGCCUCGGAUACGGGCGGGCUGGAGGGGGGUAGGGGCAGGCGGAACUGUGGGUGGAGCGGUGAAAUGCGUUGAGAUCCACAGGAACUCCGGUGGCGAAGGCGGCCUGCUGGACCCCAUCUGACGCUGAGGCGCGAAAGCCAGGGAAGCGAACGGG